UACGUAGGGGGCAAGCGUUAUCCGGAUUCACUGGGUGUAAAGGGAGCGUAGACGGCCAUGCAAGCCUGGAGUGAAAGCCCGGGGCCCAACCCCGGGACUGCUCUGGGAACUGUGCGGCUGGAGUGCGGGAGGGGCAGGCGGAAUUCCUGGUGUAGCGGUGAAAUGCGUAGAUAUUAGGGGGAACACCAGUGGCGAAGGCGGCUUACUGGACGGCAACUGACGCUGAGGCUCGAAAGCGUGGGGAGCAAACAGG
rnacentral:rRNA from 1 species